UAAAUGUAGACAAAAGAGAAUGAAUUGUGAGUGCACACUACUGUAUAUGGUUUUACUUCUUUAGCAAAAGGUUUAUGAAGAAUGUGAUGGUAGUCCGACAAGUGAUCCUUAUGGCCACAUGAAGGCCACUUUAUUGUUAUUAGUGAGCUGAUUCUGCCAUCUCCAACCUCGCCCUUGCUCCCUGGCAAUACAGCCAGACAAACAGGAAGCAGCUGUUGCCAGGGAACCAGCCUGAAGUACUACACUAUGGCGCACGCUUGAGUGAGGACCACACAGGUGUCAGACCUCCGGGGUGAUGCUAUCAGACCUCCACAGAUGUUGCAUGGCAAGGGAAGAGCUAAAUGGUAGGACAAAAGGAGCAAGGGGUUACAGAGGGGUUUCAAAGCGAAGGAUCACUCUGAGUGAACAAAGGCAGCUGAGCAUGGUGACAGCCAGGCGGACAGCUGGGACUCCGGCUGCAACGCUAAUAUCGUUCAACGUGAGACCCUUGUCAAGACUCAAGAGGGCCCAUUGAAGCCAUGAUGGACUGGUCGACCGUGAAGGUAUUCAAGCUCUACUGUGCAAUGCCAAGGGGGAGCGGCAAAAGAAAAGAAAAAGUGAUGAGUCACCAAACUUCCCAAAAAAAAACCUCCCUCCUCUUCCUCGUUUACGGGAAACAGAAUGAUGUUGCGAACAACGCACAAGUGUCACCAAAGAGCAAUGAACCAGCUUCGCUGUCUUGUGCUUCUCAAGAUCAUGAUCAGCACUGGAUCUAUUUGGAUCACCUUUCGGGAUAGCUUGCCUGUUGCUAUUGCAAACUCGGGAGACAAUAGAGAAUCCAAAUCGUAGUAUGUCUAAGUCAGGGAUCUCCAAAGGUUUUCCAGAACAACGGAAGAGAAGGAAGACGGAGGCCCGCUUCACCUUAAAUAAAGGAAAUGUGCUACAACUAAUUCAAUAUGCUUUUGUCCUGGCAAGAUGUUUGAAGAUAGAUCCUUCGUGCUAACUUCCUGAGGUCACCGGGACCCCCCUCUGGAGCCAGGCCUGGAGGUGGGGCUCGAAGGCGAGUUUCCGGUGAGGGUUGGACUCCGCCAAGGCUGCCCUUUGUCACCGAUUCUGUUCAUAACUUUUAUGGACAAAAUUUCAAGGCGCAGCCGAGGCGUAGAGACGGUCUGGUUUGGUGGCCCCAGUAUUGCAUCUCUGCUUUUUGCAGAUGAUGUGGUUCUGUUGGCUUCAUCAAACCAUAAUCUCCAACUCUCACUGGAGCGGUUCGCAGCUGAAUGUGAAGUGGCUGGGAUAAGAAUCAGCACCUCCAAAUCUGAGACCAUGGUCCAGUCGGAAAAGGGUGAUGUGCACUCUCCAGGUCGGGGAUGAGAUCCUGCCCCAAAUGGAGGAGUUCAAGUAUCUUGGGGUCUUGUUCACGAGUGAGGGAAGAAUGGAACGGACGCCUCCCUGGUGAGGUGUUCCGGCACGUCCCACCGGGAGGAGACCCCGGGGACGACCCAGGAAACGCUGGAGAGACUACGUACUUAGGCUGGCCUGGGAACCCCUCAGGAUCCCCUCGGAAGAGCUGGAUGAAGUGGCUCGGGAGAUGAAAGUCUGGACGUCCCUGCUAAAGCUACUGCCCCCGCGACCCGACCUCGGAUAAGCGGUAGAAAAUGGAUGGAUGGAUGUUUAACUAUGAAUUGUAUACAGACCAAUUAUCAAAAAAAAUAUCUGAAAUGUAAGUCGCAUAAUAUGAGGUAAAACCUUUUAAGUUUACCAUUUCUUAUUGCAAAAAUAACAACAGCUGGUGAUUAUUUACUAUAUGUUUUUGUUCCUUAUUUCAACUCUUUCCAGAAAUUUUAAUUUUUUGUUUGUUAGUUUCAUAAGGUUAAAGAAAAAAAUCAUAGGUUACGGUCAUACAACAGGAAGAGGAAGUGAAAGACAAUUUCACCAAAGAACUAAAUGACGCAACAUAAAAUAUUAAAUAUUUAUUUCUUAGUUGAGCCAUUUAAAUAAAUAUAAAAUAGACAUGUUAGGAUUUUAGGACAUUCUAUUCUUUACACAAAAAAAGGAACAGCCCUUGUUUUUCCAAACCAGUAACCCACAAGCCUAAAAAAGUAAAUCAUUACUCAAUCUUAGCUUUUGACCCUCCCCGGAGGGACGCAAGUGCGUCAUAAUGGGGUUGGAAAAGAGCAGAAGUAAAGCCUUUUGACUUUCAGGAAGGAAACACAUCUGGGGAAUAAGGAAAGAGAGAACGGGUGAAAAGAGGAAUUAACAUGGAGGAAGAGGGGUUGGCCAAAAAUAGUCACCCUCCGCCGGAGCUUUGCCUUGCCAGAGCCCCCACCACAUCUCCUGCCCCUCUAGCAUCAGCCUAACCUAUUCCUUUGGGGGUGACUAACUUCUCUUCUGAAGCCCCCCAAGUCAAGAACUUCACUUCCUCCCAGGCGUCUUCAUCUGCUCCUGAGUUACCUGACUUGGGACCUCACUAUUUGUUUCCUGUAAUACAAAUACAAACCUGCUCUUAUACUUCCAUUAUGCCUGUAACAUGAGGCCAAUGCUAGUGUAGUUGUUCCCAUAACUGGCUUUUGUAAAACGGGCAUGGAAUCAGUUCCCACUUAAUGUCUUGUUCGCAAUCUUGCGGUGCAAUCAAUUGGGGUGUCCUCUGACACGUUCCCAAAAUUUGCUGGGUUAAGCUCCAGCCCCCACUGUGACCCUGAACAGGAAAUGGAAAGUAUAUGAUGCAUAGGUGUGAGACUGAUCGUGAUAUUUUUUCAUUAAAUCAUAGAAAGUCGGUUGUUUUACUUAUUUCAGUGGAUUACUUGUCAAAUCCAUUUUCUAUCGUGGUGGUCCUCAAUACAGGGCCGCAAGUCGCAGGUGAGCUGGAUCCUAUCCAGUGCAUUUCAGAGCACCUCAAUAAGAAACUGAGGAUGAGGAUAACUACAUGAAAAAAAUGUAAUGAAGUCAAUUUUAGCAUUACUUUGGCUCCAACAGAAGAGCCUGGGAGAAGCUGGUCAAAUACAGCCGGAAGUUGAGUCAGCACCAUUAGUUUUCUUUUGUUGUUGCUGUUGUUGUUGUUGUUGUUGAGACUCAGUUUGUCCCAAGUUCCAACAGGGGUCACCACAGCAAGUCACUGGUCACCGGCAUGAUUUGUUUCACACAUUUAUUUAUUUAUUUUUACACUAAAUGCCAUUCCUGACACAA